UAACCUGCGGAGGGAUCAUUACACAAUACAAUAUGAAGGCUGUCCGCAGCUGGAGUAUUUUAUUACCCUUGUCUUUUGCGCACUUGUUGUUUCCUGGGCGGGUUCGCUCGCCACCAGGACCACCAAAUAAACCUUUUUUAUGCAGUUGCAAUCAGCGUCAGUACAAACAAUGUAAAUCAUUUACAACUUUCAACAACGGAUCUCUUGGUUCUGGCAUCGAUGAAGAACGCAGCGAAAUGCGAUACGUAGUGUGAAUUGCAGAAUUCAGUGAAUCAUCGAAUCUUUGAACGCACAUUGCGCCCUUUGGUAUUCCAAAGGGCAUGCCUGUUCGAGCGUCAUUUGUACCCUCAAGCUUUGCUUGGUGUUGGGCGUUUUUGUCUUUGGUCGCCCAAAGACUCGCCUUAAAGUGAUUGGCAGCCGGCCUUUCUGGUUUCGCAGCGCAGCACAUUUUUGCGCUUGCCAUCAGCAAAACGGCAAUCCAUCAAGCCUCCUUCUCACGUUNGACCUCGNAUCAGGUAGGGAUACCCGCUGAACUUAAGCAUAUCAAA
rnacentral:rRNA from 1 species